UCCACUGUGGGCAUAAAUUGCUGUAACUUCAGGAACUCCUAUGACUAAAGACAACCCUCACUACUACUCAGCUCAAUAGCCAGAAACCUACAUCUUUCUCACGGUCUUUUGGAAGAAUAUUUCUAUAUGUAAGCAAAUAUAACAGGUUCAAUCCAAAGGAUGACUCAAGCUCUUAGAACACAGGGAAACUUAGGACUCAAGCACAAAGCUAGAAAGACAUUGCUGGAGUUUUCUCUAACAUGACAGUAGCCACUUGAAUUGAUGCCAGUAUCUAGAACUCUGUUCCUGCGUGCGCCCACAACUCCCUGUCUGAACAUCCAGAUACCCACGGAAGAUACUCAGCUGGCCAAAACAUGAAUCCAAUCUUUGGGCCUACGAUUUUGCAAGUGUUAAGCGCCUCUGAUGAACAGGUGAUUCCUGGAGGGAGUAGUCUCCUAGAGGUCAAUUUUCAUGCAGCUUUCUAAGUUCAGCAGAUGACCCAGAACCACAACUUGUGGCUAAAGGUGACUAAACUGCACAGCUGGAUGAAUUUUGGCAGAGAAGGAUUGAGACAGCAUAAUGAAUCUGCUGCACAUCUACUGCUGUGACUUUUGUGAGAAGAUUUAUCUUAAGAUGGAAGCUCGUUUUGCAAGGUGCUGAAUGUCUGGAGCCUUCGAGGAGACUCAUUGCAAAAUCAGACACCGCAUGUGUGGAGGAGGUUGACCUUGCAAAAUUCUUAUUCUGUUUUUGAACAAUUAGGACUAACUUCAAGCCCAGUUGAGACUUCCAGACUUUGAGGCUCCAGAGUCUGGACUGGAUCCAAGGCCCAGUGAACAGGUGGAAGAUUUGAUUCUGAUCUCCUUGAUGCUGGUGUAAAGGAAGAUUCACAUCCUGGAACCAAAUGGAUAUGACACGGUACAAAGGAGGAUGAGAUCAGAAGCAAGAUCUAUUACCGCUAUGAGAAGCUCCCUGCUGAUGUAGCCAUCCUCAGAAAAAACAUAGAGACUUAGAGUUGACUUUUCAGCUCCUCAUGUAUUUGGGGGCACAAGAGCUAUUAGUCACAGAGAAAAUAAAUGCUCUCAUUUCAAGCUGGUUCCCAUUUUUGUUUUGUUUUGAGUCCAUACCGAAGUGGGAAGAAGUGCAGGUGACAAUGACUUUGAGGUGAAAAUGGCAGAACAGUCUUGCGUACAAUUAAAAUGGGGCACUUCUGUGUAAAAUAGGUUGUCAAAAGCACUGCCUCUUGAUGCAGAACAAUAAAAUAAUCUUUUCAAA